AUUACGAACAAUUGGAGUUUAAACACCACCCGGCAUCAUUCUGAGGGCAUUGCCUCCCUGCCUUGAGACGUUAUGCAUUUGCUCCACUCAGGUGAUUCUGAGCUCCACUGUUUUCUGUGGCGAUAGAUGUUUGUACUUUGAAGACAGACUUUGAGGAACUGCCCAUCACACAGAACUAGCCCGAUGAAUGAGGCAAAGUGUUCUGGAGUCCCGGUCUGCGCAUUGCUGUGAGCACAGUGCUGGCCUGGAGCAACGCGAGGAGGGAGAGACGUGUGUUGAAAGAGGUUGCUCUAGGAUUUUGAUGGAUUCCUGUCUCACAUCGAG